rnacentral:sRNA from 1 species
GCCAGGCACAGUGAUGCACGCCUGUAAUCCCAACAGCUUGGGAGGCUGAGGCAGGAGGAUCACAAAUUCAAAGCCAGCCUCAGCAACUGAGCGAGACCCUGUCUCAA